GACGAACGCUGGCGGCGUGCUUAACACAUGCAAGUCGAACGCUGAAGCUCAGCUUGCUGGGUGGAUGAGUGGCGAACGGGUGAGUAACACGUGAGUAACCUGCCCCCUUCUUUGGGAUAACGCCCGGAAACGGGUGCUAAUACUGGAUAUUCACUGAUCUUCGCAUGGGGGUUGGUGGAAAGGUUUUUUCUGGUGGGGGAUGGGCUCGCGGCCUAUCAGCUUGUUGGUGGGGUGAUGGCCUACCAAGGCUUUGACGGGUAGCCGGCCUGAGAGGGUGACCGGUAACAUUGGGACUGAGAUACGGCCCAGACUCCUACGGGAGGCAGCAGUGGGGAAUAUUGCACAAUGGGCGAAAGCCUGAUGCAGCGACGCCGCGUGAGGGAUGGAGGCCUUCGGGUUGUAAACCUCUUUCGCUCAUGGUCAAGCCGCAACAUUGGUUGUGGUGAGGGUAGUGGGUAAAGAAGCGCCGGCUAACUACGUG
rnacentral:rRNA from 1 species